rnacentral:misc_RNA from 1 species
GAUGAAGAACGCAGCGAAAUGCGAUAAGUAAUGUGAAUUGCAGAAUUCAGUGAAUCAUCGAAUCUUUGAACGCACCUUGCGCUCCUUGGUAUUCCGAGGAGCAUGCCUGUUUGAGUGUCAUGAAAUUCUCAACCUUUUCAGCUUUCUUUGUUGAUCAGGCUUGGAUGUGGGAGUAUGCGGGCUUCUCAGAAGUCGGCUCUCCUGAAAUGCAUUAGCGGGACCUUUGUUGCCUGGCUUUGGUGUGAUAAUUAUCUACGCCAUUGUAGUCCAGCAGCUUAAAAUGAGGUUUCAGCUUCUAACCGUCUCCCCUGAGACAACUUUUUGACAAUUUGACCUCAAAUCAGGUAGGACUACCCGCUGAACUUAAGCAUAUCAAUAAGCGGAGGA